UUCCAGGUAAAUCCGGUUCACUUUAACACUGAGGCGUGACGACGAGGCACUACGGUGCUGAAGCAACAAAUGCCCUGCUUCCAGGAAAAGCCUCUAAGCAUCAGGUAACAUCAAAUCGUACCCCAAACCGACACAGGUGGUCAGGUAGAGAAUACCAAGGCGCUUGAGAGAACUCGGGUGAAGGAACUAGGCAAAAUGGUGCCGUAACUUCGGGAGAAGGCACGCUGACACGUAGGUGAAGUGAUUUACUCAUGGAGCUGAAGUCAGUCGAAGAUACCAGCUGGCUGCAACUGUUUAUUAAAAACACAGCACUGUGCAAACACGAAAGUGGACGUAUACGGUGUGACGCCUGCCCGGUGCCGGAAGGUUAAUUGAUGGGGUCAGCGCAAGCGAAGCUCCUGAUCGAAGCCCCGGUAAACGGCGGCCGUAACUAUAACGGUCCUAAGGUAGCGAAAUUCCUUGUCGGGUAAGUUCCGACCUGCACGAAUGGCGUAAUGAUGGCCAGGCUGUCUCCACCCGAGACUCAGUGAAAUUGAACUCGCUGUGAAGAUGCAGUGUACCCGCGGCAAGACGGAAAGACCCCGUGAACCUUUACUAUAGCUUGACACUGAACAUUGAGCCUUGAUGUGUAGGAUAGGUGGGAGGCUUUGAAGUGUGGACGCCAGUCUGCAUGGAGCCGACCUUGAAAUACCACCCUUUAAUGUUUGAUGUUCUAACGUGGACCCGUUACCCGGGUUGCGGACAGUGUCUGGUGGGUAGUUUGACUGGGGCGGUCUCCUCCUAAAGAGUAACGGAGGAGCACGAAGGUUGGCUAAUCCUGGUCGGACAUCAGGAGGUUAGUGCAAUGGCAUAAGCCAGCUUGACUGCGAGCGUGACGGCGCGAGCAGGUGCGAAAGCAGGUCAUAGUGAUCCGGUGGUUCUGAAUGGAAGGGCCAUCGCUCAACGGAUAAAAGGUACUCCGGGGAUAACAGGCUGAUACCGCCCAAGAGUUCAUAUCGACGGCGGUGUUUGGCACCUCGAUGUCGGCUCAUCACAUCCUGGGGCUGAAGUAGGUCCCAAGGGUAUGGCUGUUCGCCAUUUAAAGUGGUACGCGAGCUGGGUUUAGAACGUCGUGAGACAGUUCGGUCCCUAUCUGCCGUGGGCGCUGGAGAACUGAGGGGGGCUGCUCCUAGUACGAGAGGACCGGAGUGGACGCAUCACUGGUGUUCGGGUUGUCAUGCCAAUGGCACUGCCCGGUAGCUAAAUGCGGAAGAGAUAAGUGCUGAAAGCAUCUAAGCACGAAACUUGCCCCGAG
rnacentral:rRNA from 1 species